rnacentral:rRNA from 1 species
GAUGAACGCUGGCGGCGUGCCUAAUACAUGCAAGUCGAGCGAACAGACGCGGCGCUUGCUCCGGUGACGUUAGCGACGGACGGGUGAGUAACACGUAGAUAACCUACCUCUAAGACUGGGAUAACUUCGAGAAACCGUAGCUAAUACCGGAUAAUAUAUUGAACCGCAUGGUUCAAUAGUGAAAGACGGUUUUGCUGUCACUUAUAGAUGGAUCCGCGCCGCAUUAGCUAGUUGGUAAGGUAACGGCCUACCAAGGCAACGAUGCGUAGGCGACCGGAGAGGCGGAUCGGCCGCCCUGGAACUGAGCCACGCUCCAGACUCCUACGGGAGGCAGCAGUAGGGAAUCUUCCGCAAUGGUCGAAAGCCUUACGGAGCAACGCCGCGUGAGUGAUGAAGGUCUUCGGAUCGUAAAGCUCUGUUAUUAGGGGAGAACAAAUGUGUAAGUAACUAUGCCCGUCUUGACGGUACCUACUCAGAAAGCCACGGCUAACUACGUG